rnacentral:lncRNA from 1 species
UCAGUAAAAAGCAAGUAAAAAGAGUUGGUGGUGGUGUUGGAUGAAAUGGGUGAAAUCUGAGCACAGAUCGAAAGUCCAUGUAGCACCAUAUUAUUCAGUGUGUUGUUCUUGUAAAAUUUUGAUUUCAUAUUCAAUUUUCUUGAGUUGAAAAUGGCUGACGUCGCUGGAGGACGUGAAAGUGGCGUGACACGUAUUUUCACAAAACUCAAUAAUCUCACAGAAUCCGGCAAUUUUUACGAGGCACAUCAACUCUACAGGACCAUAUAUUUCAGGUAUUUAAAUCAAAAAAGUAUGAUGAAUUAUUGACAGUUCUGUAUAGCGGGGCUACUCUUUUUCUCCGCCAUGAUCAGCAGGUUGGCGGUGCUGAUUUAUCAAUUUUAUACAUUGAUGUACUCACAAAUCUGCUACUCCCGUCACCAAUGAAAUUUUGGACAAAUUACCCCCGUAAGUGGAUUUUAUUUCUUUCUUCUCAUUUUCCUUUUAGGAAUGAGAACAGAUGCUCAACGACAUCACUAUGCUAAGUUAAGGAUAUGGUAUGAAUACAAAUCUAGCUCUCGAGUCCUCAGGCACCUUGAAUAUGUCAUUCAUCUCAAUGCUAAGCUGUCAUUUCUUUUGUAUAUCUCAAUGUUGGGAUAGGUGAAGUACCAAUUAUACCAACAAUUUUUGUCUCCAUUUGGUGUGUUUCAGUCUGCUCAAACUGAUGAGUCCGAAUUUAGCUGAAAGAGAAAACAUCAUUAACAAAGCUCUAAAAUGGUCCAUAGCUGACUGCAGCACUCACAAGUCUGGCCAUCCAGCUCUUCAUAGAGACUUUGCUGGAAUUUUUGGGAAGGUAGGUUGCUUUUUCCUCAAAUUUUAGACACUUUUUAGGAGAGGCGCAGAGGGACACGAGGCACAGGCCUGUGGGUGGACCCCAGUCUGAGAAACGCC